UGGAUAAGUUGUAUCUUCGGG
ensembl:piRNA 21ur-2710 ncRNA